AUAACUUUUAACAAUAGAUCUCUUAGUUCUAGCAUUAAUAAAGAACGCAGCGAAAUGUGAUAAGUAGUGUGAAUUGCAGAAUUUAGUAAAUUAUUGAAUCUUUAAACGCAUAUUGCGCCCCUUAGUAUUCUAUAGGGCAUGCCUAUUUAAGCGUUAUUUGUACCCUUAAGCUCUGCUUAGUAUUAGGUGUUUAUUCUACUUAGGACUCGCCUUAAAACAAUUGGCAGCUAGCACAUUAGCCUAGAGCGCAGCACAUUUUGCGCCUCUUGUUAUGGUUGUUAGCAUCUAUUAAGACACUUUUUAAGCUCUUAACCUUAGAUUAGGUAGGGAUACCCGCUAAACUUAAGUAUAUUAAUAAGCGGAGGAAAAGAAACUAACAGGGAUUGCCCUAGUAAUAGUAAGUAAAGCGGCAACAGCUUAAAUUUAAAAUCUAGCUCUUUUAGGGUCUAAGUUAUAAUUUGCAGAGGGCGCUUUAGCGUUAGCAGUAGUCCAAGUUCCUUAGAAUAGGACGUUAUAGAGGGUAAGAAUCCUAUAUAUAGUUACUAGCCUUCGCCGUGUAAAGCCCCUUUAAUAAGUUAAGUUAUUUAGGAAUAUAGCUCUAAAUAGGAGGUAAAUUUCUUCUAAAGCUAAAUACUAGCUAGAGACUAAUAGCGCACAAGUAGAGUAAUUAAAAGAUAAAAAGCACUUUAGAAAGAGAGUUAAAUAGCACGUAAAAUUGUUAAAAGGGAAGCGCUUGCAGCUAGACUUGCCUAUAGUUACUUAUCUAGGCUUUUGUCUAGUGUACUCUUCUAUAGGCAGGCUAGUAUUAGUUUAGGCGGUUAGAUAAAGGUCUCUGUUACGUACCUCCCUUUAGGGAGGCCUUAUAGGGGAGACAACAUGCAACCAGCCUAGACUAAGGUCCGCGCAUCUGCUAGGAUGCUAGCGUAAUAGCUAUAAGCGGCCUAUCUUAAAAUAUAGACUAAGGAGUCUAACAUCUAUGCAAGUGUUUAGGUGUUAAGCCUAGACGCGUAAUAAAAGUAAAUAGAGGUAGGAACCCUUUUAGGGUGCACUAUUAACUAAUCCUAAUGUCUUUAGAAGGAUUUAAGUAAGAGCAUAGCUAUUAGGACCUAAAAGAUAGUAAACUAUGCUUAAAUAGGGUAAAGCUAGAGGAAACUCUAGUAGAGGCUUGCAGCGGUUCUAACGUGUAAAUUAAUUGUUAAAUUUAGGCAUAGGAGCAAAAGACUAAUUAAACUAUCUAGUAGCUAGUUCCUGCUAAAGUUUCCCUUAGGAUAGCAGUAACGUAUUUAGUUUUAUAAGGUAAAGCAAAUAAUUAGAGGCCUAGGGGUUAAAACAACCUUUACCUAUUCUUAAACUUUAAAUAUAUAAGAAGUCCUUGUUACUUAAUUAAACGUGGACACUUAAAUAUACUGUUACUAGUAGGCUAUUUUUAGUAAGUAGAACUAGCGAUACGGGAUGAACUAAACGUGGGGUUAAGGUGCUAGAAUACACGCUUAUUAGACACUACAAAAGGUGUUAGUUUAUCUAGAUAGCAGGACAGUAGCUAUAGAAGUUAGAAUCUACUAAGGAGUGUGUAACAACUUACCUACUAAAUAAACUAGCCCUAAAAAUAGAUAGCGCUUAAGCGUGUUACCUAUACCCUGCUGCUAGGGCAAGAUUUAAGCCCUAGCAAGUAGGCAGGCGUGGAGGCUUGUAACGAAGCCUUAGGGGUAACCCUAGGUAGAACGGCCUCUAGUGUAGAUCUUAGUAGUAGUAGUAAAUACUUAAAUAAGAACUUUAAGGACUAAAGUAGGGAAAGGUUCUGUGUAAAUAGUAGUUAGACACAGGUUAGUUAAUCCUAAGAGAUAGGGUAAUUCUGUUUUAAUAUUAGUGCUUGCGCCGCGCCCUUAAAAGGGAAGCUAGUUAAUAUUCUAGCACCUAAAUAUAGAUUCUCUGUAGCAACGCAACUAAGAGCGGAGACCUUAGCAGGAGCCCUAAGAAGAGUUCUCUUUUCUUCUUAAUAGUCUAUUACCCUAAAAUUAGUUUAUCUAGAGCUAGGGUUUAAUAGCUAGAAGAGCGCUGCACUUUUGCAGCAUUUAGUGCGCUCCUAAUAAGCCUUAAAAAUCUGCUUAAAGAAAUAGUUUUUAUGCUAGGUCGUACUUAUAACUAUAGUAGGUCUCUAAGGUAAAAAGCCUCUAGUUAAUAGAAUAAUGUAGAUAAGGGAAGUUAGCAAAAUAGAUCUAUAACUUUAGGAAAAGGAUUAGCUCUAAGGGUUAGGUACGUUAGGCCUUAGGGAGAAGCCUCUAGCGCAGAAGGGCACUAACCGCAAGGUAGGCGCCUCUUAGCGCUAGGGUGCAGACACCCUUAGCAGGUUUCAGCUGUCUAGCGUACGUUUAAUAACUAACUUAGAACUAGUAUAGAUAAGAGGAAUCUAACUAUCUAAUUAAAAUAUAGCAUUAUAAUAGCUAGAAAGUAGUGUUAACGUAAUGUGAUUUCUGCCUAGUGCUCUAAAUAUUAAAGCAAAGAGAUUUAACCAAGCGUGGGUAAACAGCAGGAGUAACUAUAACUCUCUUAAGGUAGCUAAAUGCCUUAUUAUCUAAUUAGUAACGCGCAUAAAUAGAUUAACAAGAUUCCUACUAUCCCUAUCUACUAUCUAGCGAAACUAUAGCUAAGGGAAUAGGCUUAGCUAAAUUAGCAGGGAAAGAAGACCCUAUUAAGCUUAACUCUAGUUUAAUAUUAUAAAAAGAUAUAGGGGGUGUAGAAUAGGUAGGAGCUUUAGCGCUAGUAAAAUACUACUACCCUUAUUAUUUUUUUACUUAUUUAAUAAAGCGGAGCUAGGCCUUACUACCUAACUUCUAGCGUUUAAGGUCCUUUGUAGGCUAAUCUAGGUUAAAGACAUUGUUAGGUAGGGAGUUUAGCUAGGGCGGCACAUCUAUUAAACUAUAACGCAGGUGUCCUAAGGGGGACUUAUAGAGAACAGAAAUCUCUAGUAGAGCAAAAGGGCAAAAGUCCCCUUAAUUUUGAUUUUUAGUGUGAAUACAAACCAUAAAAGUGUAGCCUAUUAAUCCUUUAGUCCCUUAAAAUUUAAGGCUAGAGGUGCUAGAAAAGUUACUAUAGGGAUAACUAGCUUGUAGCAGCCAAGCGUUUAUAGCGACGUUGCUUUUUAAUCCUUUAAUAUUAGCUCUUCCUAUUAUACUAAAGCAGAAUUUAGUAAGCGUUAGAUUGUUUACCUACUAAUAGGGAACGUAAGCUAGGUUUAGACUAUCGUGAGAUAGGUUAGUUUUACCCUACUAAUAACCUUGCCCUAAUAGUAAUACCGCUUAGUACGAGAGGAACCGCGGUUUUAGAUAAUUAGUUUUUGCGGCUGUCUAACUAGGCAUUGCCGCGAAGCUACUAUCUACUAGAUUAUAGCUAAACGCCUCUAAGUUAGAAUCUAUGCUAGAAUAGGGUGAUUUCUGCCUGCACUAGUUAGAUACAAAUAGGCCUUUGGCCCAGAACCUUACUAGAUUAGCGUUGGCAGCCCUAUUAAAGUUAGGGUUGUUAGCUAGUAUAUUGCAAUUAUACAGUGCGCAGGAU
rnacentral:rRNA from 2 species